GUGAUUGCUUUGGCAGCGCAUAUACUGAAAUUGGAAUAAUACAAAGAUUAGCAUGGCCCUUGAGUAAGGAUGACACACAAAUUCACGAAAUGUUCCAUUAAGAA